AACAAAGCAUAUCCUCUAUUCAACCUGUACCUGGGGAAGUCAGUAUAUUUUUAAUGUAAACAAUUGGUGGUAGCUUGGUAAUAAAGACAUCAUAUCUUGCAAAGGAAAGCUCCCAGAAAACUCAGAAUGAAUCUUGAACAUUGGAGUAUUGGUACUUAGUGGGGCAGUACCUCCUGAAGAAGAACUGAGGAUUGACUGAACAGCUUCUGUACAAUGAAAGAGAGGAAGGCCACAUAGAGAAUGGCAAGAGAGUCAGAAACAAGGCUCCACCUUUCCUCCUUCAGAGGAGUAUACUGUUCUUGAAACAAUUGGAAACAGAACUCUCUAGCUGUUCGGAAGGAAACUUUCAGGUUUGACCCCUCGCACACCCUGACCCCAGGUGAAGACAGAGCCCACUGGAUAGUUGACCAAAGGAUGGGCUCUGAUCUAAGCCCUCUGAAGCAACUUUGGCUUCUGGAUAUAUGACCUCUUCAAUUAGGUUUCUUCAUGUUUUAUAUGGAUGGAGAGUUUUGGCUCAUUUCUCCACUUCUGCUUUUGCUCACUGUGAAAACACAUUAUAAAAUAUAAUCGUUUGAGAAUGAUUCUAACAAUUCUAACUGGUUAUUCUGUAAGAGAAAACUAAUACAAUUUUAAAGAACUUUAACUUUUGAAAGUGAAGUGAAUACCACAUGCUGCAAACGAGUGUAUUGAUUUAAUGGUCACACAUAAUCCUGUAAAAUUAGUCAUGAAACAGACACUAAUUUUAAAGAAUAGUGCUUCUAUUAAAAUACAUCUCAGCACAGCUGUAGGGCAAACAGAUUUGAUUCCCCCAGGGGGAAGCUGAGAGGUCUGUGUAGUCUCUGCCACUCUCUGAACUUACUAUGUGUGUUAGCGACAGUUUGAGUAUUUCAGGCCAUAGGACUUGGAUUCCUAAGCAAAUUCUCUACACACUCAGAGAAAUAAGUGAUAAAAAUUGCCCUUCUGUAUUUUUAGUUAACUUCCUUUAGAUCUCAUUGAGCCAAGAGUCAAAUCCACCAUGAGUAAAUGUGUUGAGCAUUGUCAGAGAGCUGUAUUAAUGUACAAAGGCCCACUUUAAAGGUCAUAAAGUAUUUCUCUCACAUAUGUGGUGAAUAGCAGUUUGGAAUUUCCUUGGCUCUGUUAUACUGUGUGCUGAGGUGGUGGUAAUGUUCAUCAGGGGUAGCCUGUCUUGGCUCAUUUGACUAAAUGAGAGGCUAAGAAUUGAAUUCUCUGCCAUAGCAGAGUCUUAUAGAUAAAUCAUGAAGUUUUCUCUAAUGAUGUUUGCAAAGGAUCAGUUUUAACAUUAGAAGCUAUAGCUACUAGUUUUAACUAUUCCAAAUGAACCAGGCUUGAACCCAGUGAAACUAUUACAAUUUCAUCCAAGACCUGUAGGACUAGAAUAUAAAAUCAAACCCAUUCCACUACCAGAUGUCAAUAGAUAGUGGGCAGAACUUUGAGGGCAGCUUUAGGUUUUAAAAUCUUAUUGGUAGGGGCACCUGGGUGGCUCAGUGGUUGAGUGUCUGCCUUUGGGUCAGGUCAUGAUCCCAGGGUCCUGGGAUCAAGUCCUACAUCAGGCUCCCCACAGGGAGUCUGCUUCUCCCUCUGCCUAUGUCUCUGCCUCUCUGUGUCUCUCAUGAAUAAAUAAGUAAAGUCUUAAAAAAAUCUUAUUGGUAAACUGUAGAAAUAGAAUAAAGCAGAAGAGGUCUGGUAAAGGCAUGAUCAUAGUAUUAAAUCUGUAGAGAAAACAAUUUGUACAAAGAUUGGAUAGGAAAUAACAGCUGGUAUACACUAUCAGCAGAAAACAAUUUGCACACUAUUUUCUGUUCUGUUGUUCCAUCAUUUCAUAAUUUAGCAUGCUUUCUGGUAAGCUUUCUUCAAAUGGAAAUCAAGCCAGAUGGUAGCCCAAACUUCUAAGGAAUCUGCUUACUUCCCCAUCUCUACCUUUGAAGCAAAGGUGGCUUUGAGGUAGGGGUGUGAGAAUCCAAAUACUGUAAAAGGACAGCUCACGGUGAAAGGUAGAGAAGUCUGAUGCUAUAGAAUCUCUCAUUAUGAAGCAACCUGGGGCCGUUUAGUGUAGGGGUAAAUGGCCUGAACUUCUAGUAGUCAUGAGGUUACAACUAUAUUAAAGCAUAGCACAAUAAUUAUUUCUACAAUGUUAACACAGAGUCAUCAUGGACAUAUGAAAUAGUGUUCAGUAAAAAUUAGGGAUUUUAAGAGAGUGAAUAUAUCUGUGUAGAACUUCUUAUUCUCUAAUAACACUGGAUAAAUUUUUUGGCUUUGCAGUCUAUUAUUACUAUUAUUUUUUCACAGAUAACCCUAAAGUAAACUUUAGGAUAGCUCUUACACAAAUAAUCUUAAAGUAGUAGGGACUAAAUUGAUAAUUUUGAAAACAAAAGUAGUUAGAUGGCUUGAGAUAUUUUAACUGUUUCCUAUCUUUAUCAGUUCCAUCUUUACAUGGCAGAUUUCUUUUAAAAAUUCAAAGUGUGCACAGAAAAUGAGAGACAAAUAUCUUCUUCUAUACUGUACUUAUACAUUGAAUUAAAAAAAGAGGUUAAAAAUGAUUCUCCUAGCUGGUUAAGUGAUUUCCAACUUCUGUCAUCUCUUUCAGAUGUGACAUUUUCCAAGGUUUUUUAGGUCUUGGCACUUCAUUUUGAAACAAGGAUUCAAAGCAAAAUAGAAAAAAAUGCCCCACUCUGCACUUUAGCAGAAUACUGUCUGUAUUCUCUAAAUAUUGAGUGAUCGUUAUCUAAUCUAGUGCAGAAUGCAUUUCAAAGUGGUAGGCAGUAAAGUAGUUAUUUUAAAGAUCCUGGUCUGUAUGAUCUGCUGUUGAAAGUAGUUCCUCACUGCAAGGAAAACCAAACAGCCAUACAUAUCCAUAAAUAAGCUGUAGCACCAUGGUAUCAUGUUUGAAUACAUCAAGGGACCAUUUGUGACGAUUCACAGUGGCAAUUCCAAAUAGUUCCUAGUAACUCUUGUGGUAUCUAUGCAAACAAUUUGUUAGAUUAGGACACAGUGUGUUAGUGACAUGGGCCAAGAGAAAUAGGGUGUGCAUUCUAACACAAGGAAGCCUUUUCUAGACCAUUACAAAGGGAGAACACUAUUUUUAUUUGGCUUCAGCACAAACUUCUCUUUAACAAAACAACCAAAAGAACUUCAAAUCCCAACUAAGUCAGAGCCAAAGAAAUAAAACCUCACUAGUGCCCCCAUAUUUUGGCUGUUCCCUUGGUCCAUCUUCAUAAUCCAGAUUUUAUUAUCAGAAUGAAAGCCUUACUUUGUUCCAAACCAAGGACUUGGACCCGUGUCCUGGGUCAAAAAUGCAGGUGAUUCCACCUACUGUCUUUCAUCUUGUUGAAAAUUGCUAAUGAAUACUGGUCUUUCUUGUCUUAUGAUGGCCUUACAUCCUAAUAAGCCCGUUGUAACUUGAAAAUAUUGUAAGUCAAAAAUGCAUUUAAUAUACCUAACCUACCAAGAAUCUUAGUUUAGCCCAGCCUCCCUUAAACAUGCUCAGAAUGUUUAGCAUACAGUUGGGCAAAAUCAUCUAACACAGAGACUAUUUUAUGAUAAAGUACUGAAAGUAUUGAAUACUUUUAACAAAGUAUUGAAUAUCAAUAAAGUAUUCAAUAGUAAAUGUAAUUUAUUGAGUACUGUAUUAAAAGUGAAAAACAGAAUGAUUAGGUGAGUACAGAAGGAUUGUGAAUUGGUUGUUUACGCUUGUGAUCAUGUGGCUGACUGGGAGCUGCAGCUUUCAGUUGCUGCCCAGCAUCAUGAGAGUAUAAUACUGCAUAUUGCUAGUGUGGGAAAAGAUCAAAAUGCAAAAUUCAAAGUAUGGUUUCUGCUGAAUGUGUAUCACUUUUACAGCUUCGUAAAGUAAAAAGUCAGAAUUCAAACCAUGUUAAAUAGGAAGACUGUCUGUAUUCUCUAAAUAUUGAGUGCUCAUUAUCUAAUCUAGUGCAGAAUGCAUUUUCAAAGUGGUAGAUUGUGAAAUACUGCUAAUAUGGCCCUUAUAAAAUAAACACUGGAGUAACAGAACUAGUUUUUUUUUCCCUUUAUGUUCUCUUAACAGGAACCAGUUCUUUAUGAGUAUUCAAUAAAUAUUAAGUAAUUAGGGUUAUAGCUAUGGAAGCACAGCCAAAGGCUGAGUGGAGUUUUCAAGGUUGUAAAACAUGUUAGCAAGGAAACCUGGGAUUGAAAUUAAGAGUUCUUAGCCUCUUCCUGGGGCUUGGGUCACUAUGUCCCUUUAUUUUCUUAAUCACAUAUACCCAUUGGGUUCCUUAGCAAGUCCUAAUCCAGUUCUCAGUUAGGCAAAACUUGGAAACCUCCAGGCAACGACCUGUUUUUCAAUGGGAGAACAUAUUUGCUUCCAGCUGGAACACAUCAAGACAAGCCAUUUCUCUUAUAGCUCCAUUCUUGCCAAAAGACUGGAAAAUAACUUAUUAGUGAGUCUAACCUAUCAAGAGCCACAACAACAGCUGCACUGAAUAUAGCACACACAAAAUGACGGGAUGCUGUGAAACUGGGAUGACUGAAACCAAUACAUGAUAAUUCCAGGCCUCACUUUGAUCUUUUCAACUGGAGGGCAAGUCAGAGGGAACCUUUAAUGCCUACACGAUCAGAUUGACUAAGUUUGUCUGUUUGUACAUUAUCCUUUUAACCUUUGUGUAUGUGCUACUUGAGACCAUAUUUAAAUUAAUAAUAUAGACUAACUCUUAUUUUUAGAACCUUUCUAUAGUUCACAUUUCAAAAUUCUUUUUUUUUUUUAAGAUUUUGUUUAUUUAUUCAUGAGAGACACAGAAAGAGAGAGAGAGAGAGAGAGAGAGGCAGAGACAUAGGCAGAGGGAGAAGCAAGGUCUCCGCAAGGAGCUCGAUGCAGGACUCGGAUUGUGCCCUGAGUAGAAGGCAGAUGCUCAACCACUGAGCCACCAGGUGCCCCCACAUUUCAAGAUUCUUAAUUAGGCCAAACAGCAUAUUGGGAAUAUAAAAUCAGUUUAAAAAUAUAUGUAUAUUAGUCAUGAAAUUCAAAUACUCUAUAAGAUCAAAGGAAACUAGGCUCAAAUAGUAUACUAUUUGUAAUAAGUAUUGCUAUCACACUACUGAAUGUUUGGUGAUUAAAUGAAUCAAGUAACUUAGAAAUUAUAACAUUUACCAAAUAUACAUAAGUGGUACAAUUUUCAUACGAUGAUAUUUGCUUUUCAGCCAGUUGGCAACAGCAUUUAUGGAAAAUCUUCUGUGUCUUGGACAAAAGUAAAGAGUGAAGAAGGAAAAAUCCCAAUCCUUUAGUCUGUCUUUUUUUUCUUUCUUUUUGAAAUAAUUGUUGCUUGUUUAACAAAAAGACUUAAAAGUAGAAAAUAAAUGCAAUCACCCAACUUAAGUGUUGCUAAGAUAUUAGUUCAAACUUUGGUAGUUUAGAAUAUUACCUUUUAUUAAAAUUUGAGUUUAUUUCUAAGGUGUACAAUCAUGCGAAGUGGUAUGCAUCUUCUUAACAGUGUGUUAGUGCCAUAUACACAGUCUGACAGUUGAGUAGACAUUUAGAAAUAUUCAUUAAAAGAUAAUGAUUUAGGGGUGCUGGGUGGCUCAGUCAAUUAAGCGCCUGACUUUUGAUUUCAGUUCAGGUCAUCUCAGAGUUGUGAGAUCAAGCCUUGAGUCAGACUUCAUGCUCAGUGUGGAGUCUGCUGGUCCCUGUCCCUCCUCUUGCUUGUGUGGGCUCUUUCUCUCAAAUAAAUAUAUAAAAUCUUUAAAAAUAUAUAUAAUGAUUUAUAUUUGUGUGGCAUAUAAGCACUAGUCCUAGAUGUAUUGUAUAACCAAACUAAUUAUAAUAGAAAUCAAUAAAAAGAAAUUAAAAUUCUGAAAUAAUUUUUGAUGGCCUAGUAAUGUAAGCAGUUUUGAUUUUGUUACUAAAAACAACAAAAAAGAAAUUAGCUGCAGUAAUAAUAAUAUAACAAAAUAAAUGAAUGCUAU